ACGUCGUUAGUUCAAUUGGCAGAACACCAGCCUCCAAAGCUGGGUGUUGAGGGUUCGAGUCCUUCACGGCGUG
rnacentral:tRNA from 1 species